rnacentral:rRNA from 1 species
GACGGGGGAUGCGAGCGUUAUCCGGAAUGAUUGGGCGUAAAGGGUCCGCAGGUGGCCCGGUCAGUCCGCUGUCAAAGCCUGGGGCUCAACCCUGGAGAGGCGGCGGAGACCACCGGGCUUGAGUCCGGUAGGGGCAGAGGGAAUUCCCGGUGGAGCGGUGAAAUGCAUAGAUAUCGGGAGGAACACCAGUGGCGAAGGCGGCUGCCUGGACCCGGCCUGACGCUGAGGCGCGAAAGCGUGGGGAGCGAUCCGG